rnacentral:rRNA from 1 species
UACGUAGGGGGCAAGCGUUGUCCGGAAUCAUUGGGCGUAAAGCGCGUGUAGGCGGCUCGAUAAGUCCGUUCUGAAAGUCCAGGGCUCAACCCUGGGAUGCGGAUGGAUACUGUCGAGCUCGAGUCCGGAAGAGGCGAGUGGAAUUCCUGGUGUAGCGGUGAAAUGCGCAGAUAUCAGGAGGAACACCAAUGGCGAAGGCAGCUCGCUGGGACGUGACUGACGCUGAGACGCGAAAGCGUGGGGAGCAAACAGG